rnacentral:rRNA from 1 species
AUUGAACGCUGGCGGCAGGCUUAACACAUGCAAGUCGAGCGGGGAAGGGUAGCUUGCUACCUGACCUAGCGGCGGACGGGUGAGUAAUGCUUAGGAAUCUGCCUAUUAGUGGGGGACAACAUUCCGAAAGGAAUGCUAAUACCGCAUACGCCCUACGGGGGAAAGCAGGGGAUCUUCGGACCUUGCGCUAAUAGAUGAGCCUAAGUCAGAUUAGCUAGUUGGUGGGGUAAAGGCCUACCAAGGCGACGAUCUGUAGCGGGUCUGAGAGGAUGAUCCGCCACACUGGGACUGAGACACGGCCCAGACUCCUACGGGAGGCAGCAGUGGGGAAUAUUGGACAAUGGGCGAAAGCCUGAUCCAGCCAUGCCGCGUGUGUGAAGAAGGCCUUUUGGUUGUAAAGCACUUUAA